rnacentral:lncRNA from 1 species
GUGUAGCAGAGAAGGGGACCAUCACAGAAGACAGGGGCUUCCAGAACCCUUGCAGCUCUGUUACAUGCCUGUUACAUUUCGAGCAGAAUGUCAGACAGACAGCAACAGGCUUUCUGUCUGUUUUGUUCUCUGCAGCACAUCGAGUGGCGUCUCACACACAAGAUAUGAAAAUUGGCUGCAGCUAGCUCGUCCUCAAUUCUUCUUUCAAGGCCAUGCUCUUCACCAUGCAUCAGAUUUAAUGGAAACGCUAAUAAAGGGAUGGAAAUGUCUCGGCUUAUUUCAUUACCAUCGAAGCAACAUAAAAGCCCGCACCUCCAUGUAACUUAGAUAACCCUGAAACUCUACCUCGGAGGCUUGUGUGGGAAAACCUCGUCCCCUCGGAGGCUUCCCAAGGGCUUCCUCUUAAGUCGAAGUUUGAAGAGAGCAUCAUUGCUUGACAAUAAAUAUUUCCCAAGC